GGGGUGAGGGGGGCUACCUGCAGUCGACGGCAGCACAGAGGAGCUUGCUCCUUGGGUGGCGAGUGGCGGACGGGUGAGGAAUACAUCGGAAUCUACUUUUUCGUGGGGGAUAACGUAGGGAAACUUACGCUAAUACCGCAUACGACCUACGGGUGAAAGCAGGGGAUCUUCGGACCUUGCGCGAUUGAAUGAGCCGAUGUCGGAUUAGCUAGUUGGCGGGGUAAAGGCCCACCAAGGCGACGAUCCGUAGCUGGUCUGAGAGGAUGAUCAGCCACACUGGAACUGAGACACGGUCCAGACUCCUACGGGAGGCAGCAGUGGGGAAUAUUGGACAAUGGGCGCAAGCCUGAUCCAGCCAUACCGCGUGGGUGAAGAAGGCCUUCGGGUUGUAAAGCCCUUUUGUUGGGAAAGAAAUCCAGCCGGCUAAUACCUGGUUGGGAUGACGGUACCCAAAGAAUAAGCACCGGCUAACUUCGUGCCAGCAGCCGCGGUAAUACGAAGGGUGCAAGCGUUACUCGGAAUUACUGGGCGUAAAGCGUGCGUAGGUGGUCGUUUAAGUCCGUUGUGAAAGCCCUGGGCUCAACCUGGGAACUGCAGUGGAUACUGGGCGACUAGAGUGUGGUAGAGGGUAGCGGAAUUCCUGGUGUAGCAGUGAAAUGCGUAGAGAUCAGGAGGAACAUCCAUGGCGAAGGCAGCUACCUGGACCAACACUGACACUGAGGCACGAAAGCGUGGNGGAGCAACAGGAUUAGAUACCCUGGGUAGUCACGCCCCUAACGAUGCGAACUGGAUGUUGGGUGCAAUUUGGCACGCAGUAUCGAAGCUAACGCGUUAAGUUCGCCCGCCUG
rnacentral:rRNA from 1 species